rnacentral:lncRNA from 1 species
AAGAAGCAAGAAUGGUCAUGUCAUGGUAGACCAAAUGAGAUGUGACUGAAAGGGGAAAAUCCAUCAGCUGGGUGCCCUACCCAUCGUAGGAAACAGGAAUUGGAAUCAAUAGCGGAUACUGAAUAUCCAGUUGAAUGAAUGACUGGCCUGAAUAUCUUUCUGGAAGAAGUAUUAUUAGCUGUAUGAGGUAAUGCUUAAUUUGUUUUAAAUUUAUGCUCUCACGUUUUAAAGCAUGAUUCCUUAACCCAGUAUUCUAGCAUUGGUAAAUAAACCUUAUAGAUACCAC